rnacentral:rRNA from 1 species
UACAGAGGUCCCAAGCGUUGUUCGGAUUCAUUGGGCGUAAAGGGUGCGUAGGCGGCGCGGUAAGUCGGGUGUGAAAUCUCGGAGCUUAACUCCGAAACUGCAUUCGAUACUGCCGUGCUUGAGGACUGGAGAGGAGACUGGAAUUUACGGUGUAGCGGUGAAAUGCGUAGAUAUCAAGAGGAACACCUGAGGUGAAGACGGGUUGCUGGGCCAACACUGACGCUGAGGCGCGAAAGCCAGGGGAGCAAACGGG